rnacentral:lncRNA from 1 species
CACAAAGAGGAAGUGAAUGGUAAGACGGACCAAGGCAACGAGAAGAAGGUGCCUGUCCUCACUAUAUCAUUACGUCCAGGUAAAGUACAUCCGCAUGUGACUCAGGGUGUGUUUCUGUCCACUUAUGAUGGAAACUGAUACCUAUGUACUCUGUCAGUCAACCAUGCGUUAACUAUCUGAAUAACAAUCUGUAUGCUUCUGUAACAGUAGUAGUCCUGGAGAACCUGAAUUCAGCUCUACAGAAGCAGGAUUCAUUAUCAUCUUUUGACAAGUCAUCUUCACCAGUGGAUGAGCCAGAAAGCAGCUCAGGAGAGCUGGACGAGGAAGGAACGAGUGGGUCAGGACACGAGAGCAACCACGGCUGCAAGAGGAAGAGAGCAUCGGAGACAGAAACAGACAGAGACUCUGACACAGCCAGUGAGCUGCACUUUAUCUUCAUAGUCUAUAUCCACACCUCUUAUUUAAAAGAGCUGUUUUAGUCUUGCAUAAUGAGAUAUACACAUGGUCUAGGAAAUGACUUUCAAAAAAUGUGAUCCCAACAAUAUACUAUACUACUGUUUCCUUUGCCCUCACAGGCGUCCACAAGGAGAGAAAGAUCAGUAUCACAGUGAGAACAGAGGAGAAGAGUUCCAGCUGAGGAGGAUAAAAGCACACUCUCUUGGUGAUUUCACUCAAAUGUACAUUAACUCCUUUUGACCACACGUGGUGCAAGCACAACUCUGACACUUAACAUUGACUUUUUUUGAUUUAGAUUUUUUUUACUCUCUUUGAUCUCUACUACCUCCUCUGAAAUAUCUGUCUCUGUGUUCACUAAUUACAAACUAUGACCUGAUGCUGUUGAGUAGAAAGUGAGCAGUCAAUUUGGGCCUUGUUUUGGUGGAACCGGCUGACUGCUUUGGCUAAAAAUGAAAGUGACAAAAUGUCAAACCAAACAGUAAAGUUUUGAGCCAUAACAUCAAAUGAAACACUAAAGAAACACGCCCCACUAUAGCUGACAGGAACUGAUUGUUAUCUGUCAGUUCAUCAUGAGAGUUGCCAUGUGAUCUGUAGUAUAUAUGUAAAAACACUUAUCAUAACAGCUUUCAUUUCUUCAGUGAGGAAGUCAGCGCUGGGCCUGGAAAUGGCUUCCUCUGAACAUCCUGUCUUAUCAGACGUGUUGGUGCUCGUGCUGUUCUCCAUCAGAUAUGCUGCAGUCUGAACUGACACAGCCUUAUAAACCGGCUUCAAAACGUGUAUUUAUAUUAGCUGCUUAAACGUUACAACCGCAGCUCUUUUUAUAAAAUCGCACUUGCAUUUAUUUAUUUUCUCCACUAGGGGGCAGCAGAAAGAAGUUGCUGAUGUGGUGAACAUGUCAACAAUUUAUCCAGCACAGCAUCCACAGCAGACAUUUUCAGAGUUAACAAUAUAACCAAAACAACAAACUGAAAGACACUAUAAAGCUCUAAGGAUCAGUAGUUCACAAUAAUUCUCUGUGGCUUU